GCCUUGGCGGGGCUCGCGGGGCAGGGCCGCCCAGUCCUUACCCAGGAGCCGGAUGAGGAUCUGGAGCCCGACGCUGAACCGGCCCUGGCUGGCAUCAUAAUAAGGAAACUGAAACCCAGCCCCAUGGAGAGAUGGGUUCAGAGAGAAGACAGAAAAGAAAAGGAUAGCCCCGAGAAACGUUCGUGUCUCAGAAGGCUGCUGCAUAAGCCAUCUCAGAACUGCCAUUCACUCCGGUUCAGCAAGCAAGGGCUAAGCCAAGAGCUCUUCGGAGGGUAGAAACGCAGAAAAAAACAAUGGAGCCUCCCAGUGACAACGUUUAUAAAAAAAUUGGACCCAAAA